AACCCUUUAUCUCAAUGGAAUAA
rnacentral:snRNA from 1 species